rnacentral:rRNA from 1 species
ACUCCUACGGGAGGCAGCAGUAGGGAAUCUUCCACAAUGGACGAAAGUCUGAUGGAGCAACGCCGCGUGAGUGAAGAAGGGUUUCGGCUCGUAAAACUCUGUUGUUAAAGAAGAACAUAUCUGAGAGUAACUGUUCAGGUAUUGACGGUAUUUAACCAGAAAGCCACGGCUAACUACGUGCCAGCAGCCGCGGUAAUACGUAGGUGGCAAGCGUUGUCCGGAUUUAUUGGGGCGUAAAGCGAGCGCAGGCGGUUUUUAAGUCUGAUGUGAAAGCCUUCGGCUCAACCGAAGAAGUGCAUCGGAAACUGGGAAACUUGAGUGCAGAAGAGGACAGUGGAACUCCAUGUGUAGCGGUGAAAUGCGUAGAUAUAUGGAAGAACACCAGUGGCGAAGGCGGCUACCUGGUCUGCAACUGACGCUGAGACUCGAAAGCAUGGGUAGCGAACAGGAUUAGAUACCCUGGUAGGAUAGCG